AGCGGAUUGUCAAUGCCCAAUUAGCAAUCCUAUGGCUAGGAAUGUUUUAGGAAUGAAUCUAAGAGAAAGGUCUCGAUAAUCUAACUCAUUAGAUCACUUAUCUCUUAGAACAAAUACAUUCCUUGGAUUCCCUUAUUGCUUAAACACAUGAUACAAUAAAUAGUGAUUAACAAUAAGAUUUGCCCUCCAUUAAACAUAUAAAAGUUUAACACAACAAGUAUUCCAAAAAGCUAUUACAUCAAAUGAGUGGCUUUGUGGGCAUACUUCCAACAAUCUCCCACUUGCACUC
rnacentral:lncRNA from 1 species